rnacentral:rRNA from 1 species
UACAGAGGUCUCAAGCGUUGUUCGGAUUCAUUGGGCGUAAAGGGUGCGUAGGUGGCGGGGUAAGUCAGGUGUGAAAUCUCGGAGCUCAACUCCGAAACUGCACUUGAUACUGCCUUGCUCGAGUACUGGAGAGGAGAUUGGAAUUUACGGUGUAGCAGUGAAAUGCGUAGACAUCGUAAGGAAGACCAGUGGCGAAGGCGAAUCUCUGGACAGUUACUGACACUGAGGCACGAAGGCCAGGGGAGCAAACGGG